AACGUACGCUGGCGGCACGCCUAACACAUGCAAGUCGAACGAAGUAGCAAUACUUAGUGGCAGACGGGUGAGUAACAUGUAGGUAUCUGCCCUUUGGCCUGGAAUAACACGAGGAAACUUGUGCUAAUACCGGAUAAGUCUUUACAGAGAAAGCUUUAUGCACCAUUGGAUGAGCCUGCACUUGAUUAGUUUGUUGGUGGGGUAAUGGCCUACCAAGACUGUGAUCAAUAGCUGAUUUGAGAGGAUGAUCAGCCACAUUGGGACUGAGACACGGCCCAAACUCCUACGGGAGGCAGCAGUGGGGAAUCUUGCACAAUGGAGGAAACUCUGAUGCAGCGAUGCCGCGUGAAUGAAGAAGGCCCUUGGGUUGUAAAGCUCUUUCGUCGGGGAAGAAAAUGACUGUACCCGAAUAAGAAGGUCCGGCUAACUUCGUGCCAGCAGCCGCGGUAAUACGAAGGGACCUAGCGUAGUUCGGAAUUACUGGGCUUAAAGAGUUCGUAGGUGGUUGAAAAAGUUGGUGGUGAAAUCCCAGAGCUUAACUCUGGAACUGCCAUCAAAACUUUUCAGCUAGAGUAUGAUAGAGGAAAGCAGAAUUUCUAGUGUAGAGGUGAAAUUCGUAGAUAUUAGAAAGAAUACCAAUUGCGAAGGCAGCUUUCUGGAUCAUUACUGACGCUGAGGAACGAAAGCAUGGGUAGCGAAGAGGAUUAGAUACCCUCGUAGUCCAUGCCGUAAACGAUGUGUGUUAGACGUUGGAAAUUUAUUUUCAGUGUCGCAGCGAAAGCGAUAAACACACCGCCUGGGGAGUACGACCGCAAGGUUAAAACUCAAAUGAAUUGACGGGGACCCGCACAAGUAGUGGAGCAUGUGGUUUAAUUCGAAGAUACGCGCAGAACCUUACCAACACUUGACAUGUUCGUCGCGACUUUAAGAGAUUAAAGUUUUCGGUUCGGCCGGACGAAACACAGGUGCUGCAUGGCUGUCGUCAGCUCGUGUCGUGAGAUGUUGGGUUAAGUCCCGCAACGAGCGCAACCCUCACUUUUAGUUGCCAUCAUUAAGUUGGGCACUCUGAAAGAACUGCCAGUGAUAAGCUGGAGGAAGGUGGGGAUGACGUCAAGUCCUCAUGGCCCUUACGUGUUGGGCUACACACGUGCUACAAUGGUAUUUACAGCAGGAAGCAAAACAGCGAUGUUAAGCAAAUCCUUAAAAAAUACCUCAGUUCGGAUUGCACUCUGCAACUCGAGUGCAUGAAGCUGGAAUUACUAGUAAUCGUGGAUCAGCGUGCCACGGUGAAUGCGUUCCCGGGUCUUGUACACACCGCCCGUCACACCAUGGGAGUUGGUUCUACCUUAAGGCAAGGCAUAAAACCCUUGACCACGGUAUAGUCAGCGACUGGGGUG
rnacentral:rRNA from 1 species